AUGAAUACCAUUCCAUCUAAUAUUAUUGUAUCUUGGCAUGUGACGGAAACGUGGGAUCUUACGGGUGAAUCUGUUCCAAGACCGACCAGCAAGGGACUAGAACUGAACACCCACACCCAUCUCGCUGAAAAAGAAGGCGUACUUCUUCCAUCAAGUUUUAAAAUUUCAACAUAUCCCAACAAGUGGAAUGUUGCGUUUGGUACUAUUCGGAGUACUGAUCCAAGAACUAAGGAUGGUGGUAUUGAGUUAGGUGCUGAAUUUUUUCUUGUGAGCAUAGAUCAACCUAUGCUUGAUAAUGAGGAGUUGUUUUAA
rnacentral:rRNA from 1 species